rnacentral:rRNA from 1 species
GACGAACGCUGGCGGCGUGCUUAACACAUGCAAGUCGAACGGAAAGGCCCUGCUUUUGUGGGGUGCUCGAGUGGCGAACGGGUGAGUAACACGUGAGUAACCUGCCCUUGACUUUGGGAUAACUUCAGGAAACUGGGGCUAAUACCGGAUAGGAGCUCCUGCUGCAUGGUGGGGGUUGGAAAGUUUCGGCGGUUGGGGAUGGACUCGCGGCUUAUCAGCUUGUUGGUGGGGUAGUGGCUUACCAAGGCUUUGACGGGUAGCCGGCCUGAGAGGGUGACCGGCGACAAUGGGACUGAGAGACGGCGCAGAGUGCUACGGGAGGCAGCAGGGGGGAGUAUGACACAGUGAGCGGGAGUGUGAUGCAGAGGUGCCGGGAGCGGGAUGAAGGCCUACGGGGGGUAAACCGCAGUAACCUGUGACGAAGCGGGAGUGACGGUAAUGAGUAAAGAAGCACCGAAUAACUACGUG